GCAUGAAGCUGGAAUCGCUAGUAAUCGCGGAUCAGAAUGCCGCGGUGAAUACGUUCCCGGGUCUUGUACACACCGCCCGUCACACCAUGGGAGGUCGGUAACGCCCGAAGUCAGUGACCCAACCGAAAGGAGGGAGCUGCCGAAGGCGGGACUGGUAACUGGGGUGAAGUCGUAACAAGGUAUC
rnacentral:rRNA from 1 species